CUCUCUCGAUCCAUUCACACUCCACACAAGUUUAGCAGAGGCUUCUUCCUCUCUCCAUCCACACUCUCUCCAUCGCUCCGUCCACGCUCUCCCCGUCACAGGAGCUUCUUUCACCGCCGCCGCUCUCCCCAUCGCUCCGUCCACGAAGAAGCUCCAUCGCUUACGAGCUCCAUUUUUCUGUUUCUGUUUGAGCUGUGUUUCAGUCCCCUCCAUUUAGAUCUGCGCUUCUGAAUUUCAGAUCGCAUUCCGGUAACCUCUAUUUCUCUUCGAGUUCUUCAUUCACUUGCCCUCACUACACAUUCUUCUCGUCUCACGAUCUGAUCUCAUGGCUCCUAACACUGUUACGGACUUUGUUUUCUUGUCAAAUUCAAUUUGAGACAAUAAUCACUUCUGUCAUUUCAAAGAUCGAAUGCAGACAUGGUUGUACUUGCUGCAUCCAUUGUGGGCAAAUUUGGUAAAGUUCUGGUUUCUAGGCAGUUUGUUGAUAAUGUUGUGCAGAUAUGUGUACUAGAGUAGUUCUGUGAAGACAGCUUACCUCUCCAAAUUUUCUGGAUAUGAAUUGUAGCAUUUCUCAAGGGGAAACAGUAACGAAUAUCCACCACUGGAAUGUUGGGCACACGAGUUUUCAAUACAAGACAUGGAGCAUUACCCUUCACUUCCUUUUUAUGAAACUCUCUCCAUCGAACCAAUUUCAACUAUUAAAGGUGAAAACUGAUGGAGCAAACUCUAAGGGAAGAAGAUGCAGCUAACUGGGUUUACAGGGGUGAAGGAGCUGUUAAUCUUGUUCUUGCUUACAAUGGAUCAAUUAAGUGUAUCGGAUAUGAUGAGACCAAUUAAGUGUAUCAGCUACGUCUUGAAUUAAGUGUAUCGGAUAUGAUGAGACCAAUUAAGUGUUUCCAUGUAUUACGAAUGGUUACUUGAUUUCCUUAUCGGUGAUUCUAAUUGAGGUUGAUCAUCUAUAAGAUAUCCUUGGCCCAUAUAUAUUCAGAUCAAAGGUGUUAAUAAAGAUGCAGUGGCAGUAGUGGGUUCAAUGCUUGAAUUGGAUGGAAUCAUAAACAGCAGCCAUGAAGCCUUCAUCACUUCCAAAUUUUGGUGCAACAAUGAUCACUAUGACCUUGUCCUUCCAGCUCUCAAGACCACACUUAAGUGGAAAUGAGCUCAUCAUGGCAAUAAGGAAAACUCAGAGAAUUUUGCAAGCAGAAAGGAAUCCAUUUGACUGCAUGGUCACCGUUUUCUAGUAAAGUCACAGAUAUUGGCAUCCAUUUUCUAAAAGGGUAAGCCUCCUGAUUGGCAAGACUUUGUUGGUAUUAUCACUUUGCUUGUCAUCAAUUCAACCAUCAGUUUCAUAGAGAGAACAAUGCUGGUAAUGCUGCUGCAGCUCUCAUGGCUCGUCUCGCUCCGAAAGCAAAGGUGAAGUUGUCUGGAUCAAUUAGCAGUCAAUACUUGACUGCAUUGCUCAUGACAGCUCCUUUCGCCCUUGGUGAUGUUGAAAUUGAGAUUAUCGAUAAACUGAUUCCUGUUCCCUACGUUGAUAUGACUUUGAAACUGAUGAGCGCUUUGGAGUCCAUGUGGAGCACAGUGGUAACUGGGAUAGGUUCUUGGUCUACGGAGGUCAAAAGUACAAGUCUCCUGGGAAUGCUUUUGUUGAAGGAGAUGCUUCUAGUGCCAGCUACUUCCUCGCAGGUGCAGCUGUUACCGGUGGGACUAUCACAGUUGUAGGCUGCGGCACAAGUAGUUUACAGAAUCAUCCUGCUGUUGUUGUGCCUAGGCUUCCUGCUGGUUUGAAUUUGCUUAGCCCAGUCAGGAGAUGUCAAGAUUAACUUUCAAUGUGGAGCUUGAUGCUGCUAAUGCAACUUAGUUAUCUAUUAAUAUUUUAGAUUAUUCUAUCUUUAAGUGCUAAGUGUAAUUUGUGACAUUCAUGUAACAUUGGGAUGGUCAUCUUAUUUUUUUUUGGUAUUUUUUUAUUAAGACAAUAAGAUAUUGGCCAAUGAUGUUGAAAAAUAACAUCCAAUUUUAUAGGUAUCAUGUAAUGAAUAUUAUGUUUAUUUAUG